UACGAAGGGAGCUAGCGUUGUUCGGAAUUACUGGGCGUAAAGCGCACGUAGGCGGAUUUGUAAGUUAGAGGUGAAAUCCCGGAGCUCAACUUCGGAACUGCCUUUGAUACUGCAGGUCUUGAGUCCGAUAGAGGUGAGUGGAAUUCCUAGUGUAGAGGUGAAAUUCGUAGAUAUUAGGAAGAACACCGGUGGCGAAGGCGGCUCACUGGAUCGGUACUGACGCUGAGGUGCGAAAGCGUGGGGAGCAAACAGG
rnacentral:rRNA from 1 species